AUGCAUAGGUGUAAUAUUUGUUGAUAUUGCAAUUUUGAAGGAUCUGCUUUUCUUGUAUAGAUCUAUUUUUUUUAAUCUUGAAGGCAGUACGAGAGGCCCUAAUGACAUAUAUACAGUACUAACAAGAAUAUGGGGGCUUUCAUAACUUGAGGUAUUUACCUAGAUCCUUGAGAUGCUAUUCGUAUUGGCCUGAAUGCAGUUGAAUUCUGAAUCAUAAACAAGCUGGGAGAUUUGUCUUCCACAUAGUAGUUUUUAGUGCAUGCUCGGAGAACAAGAUAAGAGGAGAGGCUUGAAUCUUGAGAUGACAAGGGUAGUCACCUGCUG